AUUGAACGCUGGCGGCAGGCCUAACACAUGCAAGUCGAGCGGAAGCAGGGGGCUUGCUCCCGGAUUCAGCGGCGGAGGGGUGAGUAAUGCCUAGGAAUCCGCAAGGUAGUGGGGGAUAACGUCCGGAAACGGGCGAUAAUACCGGAUACGUCCUGAGGGAGCAAGUGGGGGAGCUUGGGAUGUCACGCCAUCAGAUGAGGCUAGGUCGGAAUAGCUAGGUGGUGGGGUAAAGGCCUACCAAGGCGACGAUCCGUAACUGGUCUGAGAGGAUGAUCAGUCACACUGGAACUGAGACACGGUCCAGACUCCUACGGGAGGCAGCAGUGGGGAAUAUUGGACAAUGGGCGAAAGCCUGAUCCAGCCAUGCCGCGUGUAGGAUGAAGGUCUUCGGAUUGUAAAGUGCUUUAGGUUGGAAGGAAGGGCAGUAAUUUAAUACCGGACUGUUUUGACGGUACCGACAGAAUAAGCACCGGCUAACUUCGUG
rnacentral:rRNA from 1 species